rnacentral:tRNA from 1 species
CAAUAUAAAGCUUUAAGAAGUUUUUUAUUUACAUUAAAAAGGAAGUUGUUUAAUCAACUUAUAUUGA